AGCUGCUCACCGAUUUAACAGCUCCAAACGCAGUUCCACCACCAAGUCAUCCACUAUGCAGGUGUCUGCUGUCGCUGGUUAAUGCUCUGAUUGAAUCUAGGCCGCAGUAGUAGUAAUAAAUUAGCAGUAGUAGUUAUUAGUGAUAGUAGGCUUCCAUAUAUUUGUUGUUUCUAUGUCUUAUGAAUUUGUUGUUCGCAAAUUUCUGUGAAAAUAGCCUAAAUUAUUUUUGAUCUUCGGGCAAUAGAGAGAGCAGAGUACAGUAUAUUGAAAUUCUGUUGGUCGAAUAGCAGAUUAUUUUAACCACUUCCUGUCUAGGCUUGAUAAACCAGUCUACUUGUUACCUGAAGGGCGUGGUUAUAUUGGGGCCAGUGAAUCUGCCGUUUACUCACCUUAUUCGUAACAACGCUCACCUGCUCUCACUUUGUCUCUUUCCCAUUGCUCUCACACACAAAAACACGUCCCAGAGAGGAGAAACUAUCAGGAGAGAAGAAUCAUGUCGGUGGAAGUCCACAUAGAAUAUUGGUAAGUUAUUGUUUAACGUUGUACUACAUCUGUUAAUGUCUACUCUAAAAUGUUAUUAGGAGAUCUGUUGUUAUACCAAAGAAAACAACAGUGAGACAGUGAACAAACUGUCUGAAUGUGUUGGUAUUGGCUCAGGUUAUUGAUUUAAAGAGAGAGUUUGCUGACAAAAACAAAACAUUGACAUGAUUUUCCAGUUAGAGAAACUCAUUAUUUACAUCAUCAGUCCAACAUUUUCACUACCCUCUCCAUUUCUAUUGUCCAGUGUAAAGUUCUAGAUAUGACAUGCCAUGUGCAGCCUGUGUGUGUGUUUACGGUGUGAUUGUGGUCUGCAGUAGUGGAUGAGGGUACGAGUCUUGCUAUCAGGACCUAGCAUCUGCCAUCAAGCGGAACGUUCCUGAUGUGACGGUGACGGGAACCACGGGGCGGCGCUGUAAGUGUCACACACACACACACACACACACAGCUUGAAGUUACCCUGUCAGAUAGUGACCUCACAGCUGUGCUUCACACACAGAACGACGUUACAGAUCUCAUCGGACGUCAACUACACUCUGAUGGUCCAUCCAUUAGAUUUGAUCAAUACCUCAGUAGAUUAUGUUAUAUUCUAAUGAUCAUGGUUUGUCCCACAGCCAGUUUCGAGGUAACAGUGAAUGGUAAACUGGCCUACUCUAAACUGGAGGCAGGAGGAUUCCCAGACACCAAGGAGAUGGUGGCGAUGGUGAAGGAGGUGAGCCGUGGAGGAAAGGUGGAGAAAGUGAAGAAGAAGGAUAAUAAGUGUUUUCUCCAAUAGAUGAGUGGUUAUUGAGAGGAGAGUGUUUUUUUAAGAUCCUGGGUCCUGAACUGAUUCUAUUAAUGAUUGUUCACAAUGAAACUAGGGAUGUGAACAUGAUGAAGUCGACAGUCAUUUCAACUCUGUGAUCUGAGGGAAAUACUCUUAUCCUGUGUCUCUGUGUUACACUGUCAUGUCUUAUGUUAUUCCUUGUCUGUUUUUCUUUCCUUAUACAGACCAAGAUAUUAUAGACUGACGAGCAUUUAGUUUUGCAUUCUAGAAAUAUUGUACUCAAUGUAGACCUCUGCAGUUGUAUAGGCUGUACGUGUAUUUUUAAAUGAUCAAAUAAAUUCUAGGAAUCAAUUAGUAUUGAGUUUGUGUGUGGGGAGGGUGCUGUUGGACAUUUACAAUAAUGCUGUUGGACAUUUACAAUAAUGCUGUUGGACAUUUACAAUAAAGCUGUUGGACAUUUACAAUAAAGCUGUUGGACAUUUACAAUAAUGCUGUUGGACAUUUACAAUAAAGCUGUUGGACAUUUACAAUAAUGCUGUUGGACAUUUACAAUAAAGCUGUUGGACAUUUACAAUAAAGCUGUUGGACAUUUACAAUAAAGCUGUUGGACAUUUACAAUAAUGCUGUUGGACAUUUACAAUAAAGCUGUUGGACAUUUACAAUAAAGCUGUUGGACAUUUACAAUAAUGCUGUUGGACAUUUA
ensembl:lncRNA